UUACGGCCACACCACGUUGAAACACCGUGCGAUCACCGAAGUUAAGCAACGUCGAGCCUGGUCAGUACCUAGAUGGGUAACCGCCUGGGAAUAUCAGGU